rnacentral:rRNA from 1 species
UACGGAGGGUGCGAGCGUUGUCCGGAAUCACUGGGCGUAAAGGGCGCGUAGGCGGCUCGAUAAGGCUGUGGUGAAAGUCCGGGGCUCAACCUCGGAUCGGCCGUGGCGACUCGUGGGCUGGAGCACUGUAGAGGCGGGUGGAAUUCCGGGUGUAGCGGUGGAAUGCGUAGAGAUCCGGAAGAACACCAGUGGCGAAGGCGGCCCGCUGGGCAGUGGCUGACGCUGAGGCGCGACAGCGUGGGGAGCAAACAGG